rnacentral:piRNA from 1 species
UAAGGGUACCAUUUUUUCUAC